rnacentral:rRNA from 1 species
GAUGAACGCUGGCGGCGUGCCUAAUACAUGCAAGUCGAGCGAACAGAUAAGGAGCUUGCUCCUUUGACGUUAGCGGCGGACGGGUGAGUAACACGUGGGUAACCUAUCUAUAAGACUGGAAUAACUCCGGGAAACCGGGGCUAAUGCCGGAUAACAUGUUGAACCGCGUGGUUCUACAGUGAAAGGCGGCUUUGCUGUCACUUAUAGAUGGACCCGCGCCGUAUUAGCUAGUUGGUGAGGUAACGGCUCACCAAGGCAACGAUACGUAGCCGACCUGAGAGGGUGAUCGGCCACACUGGAACUGAGACACGGUCCAGACUCCUACGGGAGGCAGCAGUAGGGAAUCUUCCGCAAUGGGCGAAAGCCUGACGGAGCAACGCCGCGUGAGUGAUGAAGGUCUUCGGAUCGUAAAACUCUGUUAUUAGGGAAGAACAAAUGCGUAAGUAACUGUGCGCGUCUUGACGGUACCUAAUCAGAAAGCCACGGCUAACUACGUG